rnacentral:pre_miRNA from 1 species
CAUGUACUCCGUCCGAAAAUACUUGUCAUCAAAAUGGAUAAAAAGAGAUGUAUCUAGAACUAAAAUACGUCUAGAUACAUCCCUUUUUAUCCAUUUUGAUGACAAGUAUUUCCGGACGGAGGGAGUACUAU